CUACGGGGUGCUCCAGUGGGGAAUAUUGCACAAUGGGCGCAAGCCUGAUGCAGCCAUGCCGCGUGUAUGAAGAAGGCCUUCGGGUUGUAAAGUACUUUCAGCGGGGAGGAAGGGAGUAAAGUUAAUACCUUUGCUCAUUGACGUUACCCGCAGAAGAAGCACCGGCUAACUCCGUGCCAGCAGCCGCGGUAAUACGGAGGGUGCAAGCGUUAAUCGGAAUUACUGGGCGUAAAGCGCACGCAGGCGGUUUGUUAAGUCAGAUGUGAAAUCCCCAGGCUCAACCUGGGAACUGCAUCUGAUACUGGCAAGCUUGAGUCUCGUAGAGGGGGGGAGAAUUACAGGUGUAGCGGUGAAAUGCGUAGAGAUCUGGAGGAAUACCGGUGGCGAAGGCGGCCCCCUGGACGAAGACUGACGCUCAGGUGCGAAAGCGUGGGGAGCAAACAGGAUUAGAUACCCUCGUAGUC
rnacentral:rRNA from 1 species